UAGUAUUAUUACCAACAUAAGUAUUGGGGUUGUCUACGCUGUUAUGAAAAUGAUUUUAAGAACCAUCAAAAGAGAACAAAACCAUCCGAUUUUGUAAUUGAAUGUUCCAAAAUCAUUGUCUUAUACAUAUACGUGCACUUGCACAAGGUCAAUUUCUAUCUCUAGCAGCUUAAGUUUAUAUAGUGAAGAUGAUAAUGUAUAACAGGUUUUAAUAAAUGAAACAUAGCAUUAUUUUGUUAGUCUUCUUAGAGACAGAUUGAUCUGUAAAACAAGUAAUUAUUUUUUUAUUUUUUUUCAUUUUUAGGUUGUUAUAAUGAUGAUGUUUUCAUGGUGUUGGGAGUAAGACUUGGAUGUCUGAUAUUGUUAACAUGUUGGUUAGCAUCAGGUUUCCAUUGGGUUACUUGCUGGGAUAAAGCUGUUAUAAGUCGAAAGAGUUGCUGUUGCUGCCUUCCUUGUAUGGUAAAAUCCUCAGACUGCAAUCCUGCAAACCAUUGGAUAAACUGUUGCUAUCUUUUGUAAAAAAAUCAGCAGAUAUUUGUCUUAUA